rnacentral:rRNA from 1 species
GACGAACGCUGGCGGCGUGCUUAACACAUGCAAGUCGAACGGAAAGGCCCUGCUUUUGUGGGGUGCUCGAGUGGCGAACGGGUGAGUAACACGUGAGUAACCUGCCCUUGACUUUGGGAUAACUUCAGGAAACUGGGGCUAAUACCGGAUAGGAGCUCCUGCUGCAUGUUGGGGGUUGGAAAGUUUCGGCGGUUGGGGAUGGACUCGCGGCUUAUCAGCUUGUUGGUGGGGUAGUGGCUUACCAAGGCUUUGACGGGUAGCCGGCCUGAGAGGGUUACCGGCCACAUUGGGACUGCGGUACGGACCAGACUCCUACGGGAGGCAGCAGUGGGGAAUAUUGCACAAUGGGCGGAAGCCUGAUGCAGCAACGCCGCGUGCGGGAUGACGGCUUUCGGGUUGUAAACCGCUUUCGCCUGUGACGAAGCGUGAGUGACGGUAAUGGGUAAAGAAGCACCGGCUAACUACGUG